GGGACUGACUAUGAUUUUGACUGAGGUUUGGUCCUGUUCUGAUGAUAUAUAAUACAUAUCUAGAUAUCAUUCUGAUGAUAUGAUUGGUGGAGAAUAUCACCUCUAUCUAGUGCUGCCAAUCUAUCUACCACUGUCAAUCUAUAGGAACUAAGAUAUCUGAUAAUGGGACUAAGGAAAAAUUUAGUCCUAGUCCCAUGCAUGGUCACACGGCCAGUCUAGUUCAAACAAUGAAUGAAAUAUUCGAAGAAG
rnacentral:sRNA from 1 species